UCACUAAAUUCCUCCGACUGUCACAGAGAGUAACGAAACAAAAAUAUAGAGAUAGUCACUGGCAACAAACCCAAGAUCUAAGAAGUUGGAAAUAAUUUUCAAAUCCAUUUCUUCAUAGGUCUUGUUGGUAAUGGCACUAACUCCUAAGAAAAAGAAAAAUGUUCAACCAUUACCAUUAGAAUCAUCUGAUCCACCUCCUCCUACUACUACUAGUUCUUCACCACCUGCUGAUAAGGGUAAGCGCACAAAGUGUCCUGGAGUUCGUAAAGUUGGGCGCAAAAUCUAUGAUUCUGAGAAUGGAACUACUUGCCAUCAGUGCCGGCAAAAAACCAUGGAGUUAGUAGCUGCAUGCAAGAACGAUAGUAAACCCUGUACGAGCGCCAAGAAAAAAAAUGAACCUUGUAAUUUAAAAUUCUGUCACAAGUGCCUCACAAAUAGGUAUGGAGAAAAAGCAGAAGAGGUGAAAUUACUGGAUGGAUGGCACUGUCCCAAAUGUAGAGGGAUUUGUAAUUGUAGUUUUUGUAGGAAAAAGAGAGGAGACGAACCUACUGGUAUCUUAAUUCAUAGAGCCAAAGCAACGGGAUAUGAAUCCGUAUCACAACUACUGACUCUCAGAGGCCCUGAGUGUCUGGUUUCCUUAAAGAAAAAACAUUCUUCUUCUACCAAGGAAGUAUCAAAGAGUAAAUGUGGGAAGGAGAAUUCUCAAGAUGGAAAUAUUAUUCCAGAUUUGAAUGAGAAGCCGUUAGAAUCGGAAAAUUAUGAGAUUACAAUUCAGAGAAGCAAUUGUAAAAUACCUGGAGAUACUGACCAGAAUAGUAAUUCCGGAGGUAAUAUUGUAAGUUCUCCAAAGAGAAACAAUAGUGAGAGCAUGCAUGAGGGUGACAUUAGCCCUGAAACAAAGAAGUCUAAGAAAUCCCGAGUAUCGAAGGGUGACGACGAGAAGACGGGUGAAACAAAUGCUGAUGAAUUCAAUGAUUCAGUAGUCAACCAUCCAUUACCUCAAGGUGUUGAGCUAAUAAAUAUAGUUGGCAUUGCCCUACCCCCCGAAGAUGCUGGACAUGCUCUUCAAUUCCUAGAAUUCUGCAAUGCUUUUGAACAGGUUUUAGAUUUGAAGAAAGGACUGCCUGAAUCUAUUCUUCAAGAACUGGUAACAACUGGGUGUAGCAGUAGGAUCCCAGGACAGUGCUCUUUGGUCAUUCAGAUGCAUAUCCAAUUGCUUUCUUUGAUACAAAAGGACACGGGAGAAGAAUCUACGUGUCCUUCAAGUGAACAUAAUUCGUGGCUGCAAGCUUUGGACAAAUGUGUUGCAGAGUCUAACUAUGCUUUUAAGGAAACAAAUUGCUUUCAAAAGGAUGUGGAUGUAUAUAACAAGCUAGAAGUCUCGCAAAAGUUGAGACUUUUGAACUUCUUAUGUGAUGAGACCCUUGGAACUUCAGCCAUGAGAAGAUGGAUCGACGAUGAAAAGGAUAGAUGUUCUGAAAGAGUGAGGAAGGCCAGAGAAAAGGUUGAUGCUGCAAAACAAAAGGAAGACAAACUGAUUCUGAAGAUGCGUGAGGAGGUUGCGAAUGUUAUUGCCGAAAGUGGUGAUUCUGUGUCUAUUUCUGAGCACGAGGAACGUAUUUCAAAGAUUCAAGCUGAAGCAGCAAAUGCUCAUGCGGAGAAACUAGAAGCAACACGCAUGGUGCCUAAGAAAAACCAAAGAUCACAUGCGUAUAGAACGGAACCUAUUCUUUCGGAAGGAAAUGGUCAUACAUUUUGGAGUCUCAAAGGCCAUUCAUCUGGAUCGUCAAUCAUGCUUCAAGAUGUUGGAAGCUGGGAUUCUGAUACACCUGGAGAUAAGUGGUUCUCGUAUGAUUGUGAGCAGCAAACGGCAGUUGAGGAUUACAUCUCUUCCGUAAGAAAGAGAAGACUUAGGCUGCAACAUGAAGAUGCCAACAGGGAUGAGUAACAUAACAAAAAAUCUUUAGAUAAGCAACCUUCAUAAUUAUUCUGGAGUAAGGCAUGUGGGAGGUUAGACAAGGAAAGGAAGGAAAGAAAUCUCUGUAGUGUCUUUGCUGGAGAUUUAAUAAAUAUUGUUAUACAUGUACACAAUAUAAUGUAUGUAAGCUGUUCAAAUAGGAGUAUAGGAGAGAUGGUUCGUGAUCUUACAAAUGUUACAUACAUACUGUUACUAGGCAAAUAGAUUUUAAUUUCCUUUAGACAUAAUGUUACUAGGCAAUUUGAUUUGAAUUUCCUGAGACAUGUUCACAGAUGUUUUUUUAGUUUUAUUCCUCCGCAAAUUAUGGGGUAAUUUUCUCUUAAUUUUAUUCUAAUUAGUAUUUGGUUUUAUAGCAAGGAAAAGUAUUUGGGUUGAUUCUAGUUACUAUUUGGUUUUAUAGCAAAGAAAAGUAGGAGUAUUUGUACUGCAUUUCAAUUUUAAGAUAUGAACUUUACAGUUGACAUCCUCGUAUCUCACAAGAUAGGACUUUGUAGCCCAAGUUUGCUGACCAGUGUUUACCUGAUUAGGGAACCUAUUAGCAGCAAGUAUUUACUUCUUUCUUUUCUAGGUAACCUUUUUUUCUUUUUUUUUUGACAGGAAAGACAAAUUUCAUCAAGACCUGAAC